rnacentral:rRNA from 1 species
AAGGGGCAGUAAUACCUGGAUAACCUACCCUGGGGAUGGGCAUAGCCGUUCUAACGAGCGGGUAAUACCCAGCGAUUCGGCGGGUCGGCAUCGAUCUGCCGGGAAAUGAAUUUCGCCUCGGGAGGGGUCCAGGCGCUAUCAGCUAGUUGGUGGGGUAACGGCCCACCAAGGCUUAGACGGCUAGCGGGUGUGAGAGCACGACCCGCGCCACUGGCACUGAGACACUGGCCAGACACCUACGGGUGGCUGCAGUCGAGGAUCUUCGUCAAUGGGCGCAAGCCUGAACGAGCGAUGCCGCGUGAGCGAUGAAGGCCUUCGGGUUGUAAAGCUCAAAAGGGGUGAGAAAGGGAAACUUGAUCGAACCCCAGUAAGCUCGGGCUAAGUUCGUGCCAGCAGCCGCGGUAAGACGAACCGAGCGAACGUUGUUCGGAAUCACUGGGCUUAAAGGGCGCGUAGGCGGGUGCUCAAGUCCGGGGUGAAAUCCUCCAGCUCAACUGGAGAACUGCCUCGGAUACUGGGUGCCUCGAGGGUGGUAGGGGUAUGCGGAACUAUCGGUGGAGCGGUGAAAUGCGUUGA